rnacentral:rRNA from 1 species
AUUGAACGCUGGCGGCAGGCCUAACACCUGCAAGUCGAGCGAGCGGCGGACGGGUGAGUAAUGCCUGGGAAUUGCCCAGUCGAGGGGACUCACAGUUGGAAACGAAUUCUAAUACCGCAUACGAUUGGAUUGCCAAGGGUGGAUUAGCUAGUUGAUGAGGUAAUGGCUCACAAAGGCGACGAUCCCUAGCUGGUCUGAGAGGAAUAUCAUCCACACUGGAACUGAGAAACUGUCCAGACUCCUACGGGAGGCAGCAUUGCGAAAUAUUGCACUAUGGGGGAAACCCUGCUGCAGCCAUGCCGCGUGUGUGAAGAAGGCCUUCGGGUUGUAAAGCACUUUCAGCGCGGAGGCGUUACUCGCAGAAGAAGCACCGGCUAACUCCGUGCCAGCAGCCGCGGUAAUUC